UACGUAGGGUGCAAGCGUUGUCCGGAAUUACUGGGCGUAAAGGGCGCGUAGGCGGACAGUUUAGUCAGAGGUGAAAGCCCAGGGCUCAACCUUGGAAUUGCCUUUGAUACUGGCUGUCUUGAGUUCGGGAGAGGUGAGUGGAAUGCCGAGUGUAGAGGUGAAAUUCGUAGAUAUUCGGCGGAACACCAGUGGCGAAGGCGACUCACUGGCCCGAUACUGACGCUGAGGCGCGAAAGCGUGGGGAGCAAACAGGG
rnacentral:rRNA from 1 species